rnacentral:rRNA from 1 species
UACGUAGGUGGCGAGCGUUGUCCGGAUUUACUGGGCGUAAAGAGCGCGCAGGCGGUCGUUCAAGUCGAGUGUGAAAGCCCCCGGCUCAACUGGGGAGGGUCACUCGAUACUGAUCGACUCGAAGGCAGGAGAGGGAAGUGGAAUUCCCGGUGUAGUGGUGAAAUGCGUAGAUAUCGGGAGGAACACCAGUGGCGAAGGCGACUUCCUGGCCUGUUCUUGACGCUGAGGCGCGAAAGCUAGGGGAGCGAACGGG